GACGAACGCUGGCGGCGUGCUUAACACAUGCAAGUCGAACGAUGAAGCUAGAGCUUGCUCUGGUGAAUUAGUGGCGAACGGGUGAGUAACGCGUGAGUAACCUGCCCUUGACUCUGGGAUAACUGCGGGAAACUGUAGCUAAUACCGGAUACGACCCUCGGCGGCAUCGCCAGGGGGUGGAAAGAAUUUCGGUCAAGGAUGGACUCGCGGCCUAUCAGCUAGUUGGUGAGGUAACGGCUCACCAAGGCGACGACGGGUAGCCGGCCUGAGAGGGUGACCGGCCACACUGGGACUGAGACACGGCCCAGACUCCUACGGGAGGCAGCAGUGGGGAAUAUUGCACAAUGGGCGCAAGCCUGAUGCAGCAACGCCGCGUGAGGGAUGACGGCCUUCGGGUUGUAAACCUCUUUUAGUAGGGAAGAAGCGAAAGUGACGGUACCUGCAGAAAAAGCACCGGCUAACUACGUGCCAGCCGCCGCCGUAA
rnacentral:rRNA from 1 species